rnacentral:rRNA from 1 species
CAAUAGCGUAUAUUAAAGUUGUUGCAGUUAAAAAGCUCGUAGUUGGAUUUGUGGCGUACGGUGUGUUCCGGGCACUUGUUGUCUGAGUAACCUGCUGUUGCCAUCCUUGGGUGGAACCUGUGUGGCAUUAGGUUGUCGUGCAGGGGAUGCCCAUCAUUUACUGUGAAAAAAUUAGAGUGUUCAAAGCAGGCUUAUGCCGUUGAAUAUAUUAGCAUGGAAUAAUGAGAUAGGACUUUUUUGCUAUUUUGUUGGUUUGCGCAAAGAGGUAAUGAUUAAUAGGGACAGUUGGGGGUAUUCGUAUUCCAUUGUCAGAGGUGAAAUUCUUGGAUUUUUGGGAGACGAACUACUGCGAAAGCAUUUACCAAGGAUGUUUUCAUUAA